AUUGUACGGCGUAAGAAUGACUGGCCACAAAGAAUAUUGUCUACCAGACAUUCCAAAUGGACUAAAUCCAUCGGUGCAUAACCCAAGAUAGACAUUCCGAAUAUUUGUAGCAAAAUCUGUGUGUACCUUGUUGAAAUGUUUCCACGCUCUUGCGUCUGAUGGAUGUGCAACCUCACCAUCUCUCUGGACAUGUUCCGCAUGCCACCUCAUCG
rnacentral:lncRNA from 1 species